rnacentral:rRNA from 1 species
UCGAGCGGUAACAGACAUUUUGAUUUUGCUUGCAAAAUCUCGUGCUGACGAGCGGCGAACGGGUGAGUAACGCGUAGGAAUCUACCUAGUAGAAGGGGAUAGCCCGAGGAAACUCGGAUUAAUACCGUAUACGUCCUUAGGGAGAAAGAGGGCUUAGCUUUGAUGCUCUCGCUAUUAGAUGAGCCUGCGUAAGAUUAGCUUGUUGGUGAGGUAAAGGCUCACCAAGGCGACGAUCUUUAGCUGGUCUGAGAGGACGAUCAGCCACAUUGGGACUGAGACACGGCCCAGACUCCUACGGGAGGCAGCAGUGGGGAAUAUUGGACAAUGGGCGCAAGCCUGAUCCAGCCAUACCGCGUGUGUGAAGAAGGCCUUCGGGUUGUAAAGCACUUUAAGUAAGGAAGAAAAGAGUAUUGUUAAUACCAAUACUCCGUGACAUUACUUACAGAAUAAGGACCGGCUAAUUCCGUGCCAGCAGCCGCGGUAAUACGGAAGGUCCAAGCGUUAAUCGGAAUUACUGGGCGUAAAGCGCGCGUAGGUGGUUUAUUAAGUUGGGUGUGAAAGCCCCGGGCUCAACCUGGGAACUGCAUCCAAAACUGAUUCACUAGAGUACGAA